rnacentral:rRNA from 1 species
AUACGUAGGUGGCAAGCGUUAUCCGGAUUUACUGGGUGUAAAGGGCGCGCAGGCGGCCUCGCAAGUCAGAUGUGAAAGCUCAAGGCUUAACCUUGGAAUGUCAUCUGAAACUGCGGGACUUGAGUAUCAGAGGGGAAAGUGGAAUUCCUGGUGGAGCGGUAAAAUGCGCAGAGAUCAGGAGGAACACCGGUGGCGAAGGCGACUUUCUGGCUGACAACUGACGCUGAGGCGCGAAAGCGUGGGGAGCAAACAGGAUUAGAUACCCUGGUAGUCCACGCCGUAAACGAUGAUUACUGGGUGUAGGGGGUAUCGACUCCCUCUGUGCCGAAGCAAACGCGAUAAGUAAUCCACCUGGGGAGUACGGCCGCAAGGCUAAA